GAUAGCUGGGUAUAUAAAGACAUACAGUUCCGCAUAUAGAUAUUCAGUUCAUUUACAGAUUGAAUUAAUAAAUAACCAACGAUGGAUACAAGAUUAAUUCUCUUAUUGGUUGUUAUAGGGUUAAAUGUUUCUGAUGCAACAUGGGCCAGGAUGUCAAGCAGAAAUAGAUAUUAUCGUCCACUGUCAGACAGCAGACCAACAUCGCUAAACAGUAGACCGACAUCGUCAAACAGUAGACCUAAUUUAAUACAUGGUACAUCACUUGUGUCACAUCGUAGACCUGCUUCAUCACAUACACCUACUUUAUCACAUCGUAGACCAAUUUCGUCACAUCGUAGACGAAUCUUCAUUACCAGGAAGCGGGUUUAUGUGAAUAAAAUAUGUAAGUCUAAGAGAGUACAGAAAUGUGUUACUGCCAACGCCGAGUUUAUACCAUUAGUUUACGGUCGCGGUAAAUAUACAUUUGUUAGACCUGCUAACAAAAACAUUCCUUCCCGACAUUUUUUAAAUAAACUGAAGAAAUUGUGUAUUCGAUGUCCUUACCUCUGCUAUUCAGUCAUGGUAAACAAGACUACUACACAAACAACGCUGCCUACUACGACAACAGCCCCAACAACGACAACAUUGCGUACUACGUCAACAGAACCAACCACAACAACAUUGCGUACUACAACAACAGAACCAACAACAACACUGCGUACUACGUCAACAGAACCAACCACAACAACAUUGCGUACUACAACAACAGAACCAACAACAACACUGCGUACUACGUCAACAGAACCAACAACGACAACACUGCGUACUACGUCAACAGAACCAACGACAACACUGCGUACAACGCCAACUACAACAGAGCCAUUCAUGCCAAUAGUUCCAGACGCUCAGUGAUGUCAUUUGUAAUUUUGUUUAGGCUAUAUAUAGCCUGUAUGUUUGUUUGUUUUAUUCAUAAAUAAUUUUUGUUGCCAUUUUUAGAACCCGUUACGUUGACAUGGUAACCCUACGAUAACAACAUGAACAAUUUAUAAUAAAAACAUCAUUUCUUAUACAAUGUAGUGAUAAAUAAACCCACUGGGUCAUAAUCCUG